rnacentral:rRNA from 1 species
AUUGAACGCUGGCGGCAGGCUUAACACAUGCAAGUCGAGCGGGGAGAUGUAGCUUGCUACAUUUCCUAGCGGCGGACGGGUGAGUAAUGCUUAGGAAUCUGCCUAUUAGUGGGGGACAACAUUCCGAAAGGAAUGCUAAUACCGCAUACGCCCUACGGGGAAAGCAGGGGAUCUUCGGACCUUGCGCUAAUAGAUGAGCCUAAGUCAGAUUAGCUAGUUGGUGGGGUAAAGGCCUACCAAGGCGACGAUCUGUAGCGGGUCUGAGAGGAUGAUCCGCCACACUGGGACUGAGACACGGCCCAGACUCCUACGGGAGGCAGCAGUGGGGAAUAUUGGACAAUGGGCGCAAGCCUGAUCCAGCCAUGCCGCGUGUGUGAAGAAGGCCUUUUGGUGUAAAGCACUUUAAGCGAGGAGGAGGCUACUUGGAUUAAUACUCUAGGAUAGUGGACGUUACUCGCAGAAUAAGCACCGGCUAACUCUGU